rnacentral:rRNA from 1 species
AUGGAGCCGACCUUGAAAUACCACCCUUUAAUGUUUGAUGUUCUAACGUGGACCCGUGAUCCGGGUUGCGGACAGUGUCUGGUGGGUAGUUUGACUGGGGCGGUCUCCUCCUAAAGAGUAACGGAGGAGCACGAAGGUUGGCUAAUCCUGGUCGGACAUCAGGAGGUUAGUGCAAUGGCAUAAGCCAGCUUGACUGCGAGCGUGACGGCGCGAGCAGGUGCGAAAGCAGGUCAUAGUGAUCCGGUGGUUCUGAAUGGAAGGGCCAUCGCUCAACGGAUAAAAGGUACUCCGGGGAUAACAGGCUGAUACCGCCCAAGAGUUCAUAUCGACGGCGGUGUUUGGCACCUCGAUGUCGGCUCAUCACAUCCUGGGGCUGAAGUAGGUCCCAAGGGUAUGGCUGUUCGCCAUUUAAAGUGGUACGCGAGCUGGGUUUAGAACGUCGUGAGACAGUUCGGUCCCUAUCUGCCGUGGGCGCUGGAGAACUGAGGGGGGCUGCUCCUAGUACGAGAGGACCGGAGUGGACGCAUCACUGGUGUUCGGGUUGUCAUGCCAAUGGCACUGCCCGGUAGCUAAAUGCGGAAGAGAUAAGUGCUGAAAGCAUCUAAGCACGAAACUUGCCCCGAGAUGAGUUCUCCCUGACUCCUUGAGAGUCCUGAAGGAACGUUGAAGACGACGACGUUGAUAGGCCGGGUGUGUAAGCGCAGCGAUGCGUUGAGCUAACCGGUACUAAUGAAC